rnacentral:rRNA from 1 species
CCUACGGGAGGCAGCAGUGAGGAAUAUUGGUCAAUGGGCGCGAGCCUGAACCAGCCAAGUCGCGUGAGGGAAGACGGUCCUAUGGAUUGUAAACCUCUUUUGUCGGGGAGCAAAAGACGCCACGCGUGGCGUUCCGAGAGUACCCGAAGAAAAAGCAUCGGCUAACUCCGUGCCAGCAGCCGCGGUAAUACGGAGGAUGCGAGCGUUAUCCGGAUUUAUUGGGUUUAAAGGGUGCGCAGGCGGAAGAUCAAGUUAGCGGUAAAAUUGAGAGGCUCAACCUGUUUGAGACGUUGAAACUGGUUUUUGUGAGUGAGUGUGAAGUAGGCGGAAUUCGGGGUGUAGCGGUGAAAUGCAUAGAUAUCACGAAGAACUACGAGUGCGGAGGCAGCAUAACGGCGCUCAACUGAUGCUGAUGAACGAAAGUGUGGGUAUCGAACAGGAUUAGAGACCCUGGUAGUC